rnacentral:rRNA from 1 species
CAGCUUGUUGGUGAGGUAACGGCUCACCAAGGCUUCGAUCCGUAGCUGGUCUGAGAGGACGAUCAGCCACACUGGGACUGAGACACGGCCCAGACUCCUACGGGAGGCAGCAGUGGGGAAUCUUGCGCAAUGGGCGAAAGCCUGACGCAGCGACGCCGCGUGGGGGAAGAAGGCUUUCGGGUUGUAAACCCCUUUCAGGAAGGACGAAGCCACUCGGGUUAAUAGCCCAGAGGGUGACGGUACUUCCAGAAGAAGCCCCGGCUAACUACGUGCCAGCAGCCGCGGUAAUACGUAGGGGGCAAGCGUUGUCCGGAUUUAUUGGGCGUAAAGAGCGUGUAGGCGGUUAGGUAGGUCCGUUGUGAAAACUCGAGGCUCAACCUCGAGACGCCGAUGGAAACCAUCUGACUAGAGUCCGGAAGAGGAGAGUGGAAUUCCUGGUGUAGCGGUGAAAUGCGCAGAUAUCAGGAAGAACACCCGUGGCUAAGGCGGCUCUCUAGUACGUGACUGACGCUGAGACGCGAAAGCGUGGGGAGCGAACAGGAUUAGAUACCCUGGUAGUCCACGCCGUAAACGAUGGGUGCUAGGUGUAGGGGGUGUCAACUCCCUCUGUGCCGAAGCUAACGCAUUAAGCACC